rnacentral:rRNA from 1 species
CGCGAAACCUUUACACUGCACGACAGUGCGAUAAGGGGACCCCGAGUGCGAGGGCAUACAGUCCUCGCUUUUGUGUACCGUAGGGAGGUACACGAAUAAGAGCUGGGCAAGACCGGUGCCAGCCGCCGCGGUAAUACCGGCAGCUCAAGUGAUGGCCGCUAUUAUUGGGCCUAAAGCGUCCGUAGCCGGCCGCACAAGUCCGUCGGGAAAUCCACCCGCCUAACGGGUGGGCGUCCGGCGGAAACUGUGCGGCUUGGGACCGGAAGACUCGAGGGGUACGUCCGGGGUAGGAGUGAAAUCCCGUAAUCCUGGACGGACCGCCGGUGGCGAAAGCGCCUCGAGAGGACGGAUCCGACGGUGAGGGACGAAAGCUAGGGUCUCGAACCGGAUUAGAUACCCGGGUAGUCCUAGCCGUAAACGAUGCUCGCUAGGUGUGACGCAGGCUACGAGCCUGCGCUGUGCCGUAGGGAAGCCGUGAAGCGAGCCGCCUGGGAAGUACGUCCGCAAGGAUGAAACUUAAAGGAAUUGGCGGGGGGGCACUACAACC